CGGACGCGGGGAGGCAGGCCGCAGAGGCCGCGCGUACCGCCUGGGCACGUACACGUAGUGGGCUUUCCCUCUCUACCCCGCGCGCGCUGGAUAAGGCUCAGAGAACGAGACCAGCUUACGCAGGAUCACAGAGCGGAUGCACUGCGGAGCUGGGUGUGACCCUAAAAGCCCCCUCUUCCCGGCGAUCUCAGUGACCGCGCACCAGCCCUGCAUCCAGACCCGGAGGACAGGGGCCUAAGCAGGAAAACUAGGGGCAGGCUCCUCAAGCACCUCCACUCUCCAGGGGUUCCUUGAUAAAAGAUUAAAGUUCUAGGAUCUGGA